rnacentral:rRNA from 1 species
CUGGAGGUAUCAGAAGUGCGAAUGCUGACAUAAGUAACGAUAAAGCGGGUGAAAAGCCCGCUCGCCGGAAGACCAAGGGUUCCUGUCCAACGUUAAUCGGGGCAGGGUGAGUCGACCCCUAAGGCGAGGCCGAAAGGCGUAGUCGAUGGGAAACAGGUUAAUAUUCCUGUACUUGGUGUUACUGCGAAGGGGGGACGGAGAAGGCUAUGUUGGCCGGGCGACGGUUGUCCCGGUUUAAGCGUGUAGGCUGGUUUUCCAGGCAAAUCCGGAAAAUCAAGGCUGAGGCGUGAUGACGAGGCACUACGGUGCUGAAGCAACAAAUGCCCUGCUUCCAGGAAAAGCCUCUAAGCAUCAGGUAACAUCAAAUCGUACCCCAAACCGACACAGGUGGU